GAGCCUGCGUCCUAUUAGUUUGUUGGUAAGGUAAUGGCUUACCAAGGCAAUGAUGGGUAGCCGGCCUGAGAGGGUGACCGGCCACACUGGGACUGAGAUACGGCCCAGACUCCUACGGGAGGCAGCAGUAGGGAAUAUUGCGCAAUGGGCGAAAGCCUGACGCAGCGACACCGUGUGAAGGAUGAAGGUCUUCGGAUCGUAAACUUCUGUCAAUUGGAGACCUGACGGUAUUCAAUAGGAAGUCCCGGCUAACUCCGUGCCAGCAGCCGCGGUAAGACGGAGGAGGCAAGCGUUGUCCGGAAUUAUUGGGCGUAAAGAGCGCGUAGGUGGUUUUUCAAGUCAUAUGUGAAAACUUCAGGCUCAACCUGAAGAUUGUAUAUGAAACUGGAUAACUUUAGUACAGCAGAGGAAAGUGGAAUUCCUGGUGUAGCGGUGAAAUGUGCAGAU
rnacentral:rRNA from 1 species